rnacentral:misc_RNA from 1 species
UGGUGAACCAGCGGAGGGAUCAUUACCGAGUUUACAACUCCCAAACCCCUGUGAACAUACCACUUGUUGCCUCGGCGGAUCAGCCCGCUCCCGGCAAAACGGGACGGCCCGCCAGAGGACCCCUAAACUCUGUUUCUAUAUGUAACUUCUGAGUAAAACCAUAAAUAAAUCAAAACUUUCAACAACGGAUCUCUUGGUUCUGG